rnacentral:rRNA from 1 species
UACCUGGUGGCGAGUGGCGAACGGGUGAGUAAUGUAUCGGAACGUGCCCAGUAGCGGGGGAUAACUACGCGAAAGCGUGGCUAAUACCGCAUACGCCCUACGGGGGAAAGCGGGGGACCUUCGGGCCUCGCACUAUUGGAGCGGCCGAUAUCGGAUUAGCUAGUUGGUGGGGUAACGGCCUACCAAGGCGACGAUCCGUAGCUGGUUUGAGAGGACGACCAGCCACACUGGGACUGAGACACGGCCCAGACUCCUACGGGAGGCAGCAGUGGGGAAUUUUGGACAAUGGGGGCAACCCUGAUCCAGCCAUCCCGCGUGUGCGAUGAAGGCCUUCGGGUUGUAAAGCACUUUUGGCAGGAAAGNAAACGGCACGGNGCUAAAUAUCCUGUGCAACUGACGGUACCUGCAGAAUAAGCACCGGCUAACUACGUGCCAGCAGCCGCGGUUAAUACGUUAGGGUGCAAAGCGUUAAUCGGAAAUUACUUGGGCGUAAAGCGGUGCGCAGGCGGUUCGNAAAAGAAAAGAUGUGANAAUCCCAGGGCNUUAACCUUGGGAACUGCAUUUUUAACUUACCGGGCCUAGAAGUUGUGUCAGA